rnacentral:rRNA from 1 species
UACAGAGGUCUCAAGCGUUUGUUCGGAUUCAUUGGGCGUAAAGGGUGCGUAGGCGGGCAGGUAAGUCAGUGGUGAAAUCUCCGAGCUUAACUCGGAAACUGCCAUUGAUACUAUUUGUCUUGAAUAUUGUGGAGGUAAGCGGAAUAUGUCAUGUAGCGGUGAAAUGCUUAGAUAUGACAUAGAACACCAAUUGCGAAGGCAGCUUACUACACAAUGAUUGACGCUGAGGCACGAAAGCGUGGGGGAUCAAAACAGG